GCACUGCUCAGUUGGCAGAGCAUGAGACUCUUAAUCUUGAGGUUGUGGGUUCAAGGCCCAUGUUAGGCA